AUGGCUUUCAUGAACACUCUUCAUGGUGAAGCUCGUGCUCGUUUUAGUGAUCUCCUUAAAUCACUCGCCGGACGCGAUGAUUUUAUUGAGAACGUCGAAAACCUCCUCAUAGAGGAAAAAGAGAGAGUCGAACUCCUCGAGCACGAGCUAUAUGAAGAGAGUGUCAUGAGAGCAUCACUUGAGGAAGCCUUGUCUUCUCAUAAAAUUGACUUCGUUAAAACCGAUGAUGUGUUGCAACUUGCUCUUGAGAACAACGAUGCCCUUAAAGUAAGGGUUGAAAAGCUUCUAAUUGAUCACACGAGACUUGUUGAGGAACAUGAGCUCCUUGUGACUAGUUCCAAGGUUGUCAAAGGUGACCUCAUUGCCCUCACCGAGUCGUAUGCUCAACUUAAAGCUACAACCAUUAAGGCUCUUACUUCCGUCCCUCAUAUUGAUUUAAAUGAUGAAUCUUGUACGGCUAACUUUGCUCAUGAUUGCACCUCUCUCCAAGAGGAGAAUAAGAAGUUAAAAGCCCAAAUUGAGAAAGGGCUUGUGUCGUGCAUUCAAGGGGAGAAAAACCUCAAUGACCUCUUGAGCAACCAAAAGGAGUGUGUUGCCAAGGAGGGAAUUGGGUUUGACCCCUCUUCUAAGAAGAAGAAGACCAAGAAGAAGAGCAACAAGAAGAAGAUCGGUCCUACUUCUCCUCCCCAACAAAAGAUAGCAUUUGUUCAUGAAGGACACAAGGAGAAGGAGAAGGAAAAAGGGAAUGUCGGGGAUGGCAAGGUCACUAGGGACAAGGCCAUUCCCAAAGAGUUUGCCGGCAAGAACAACCCAUCUUAUGUCCUCAUGAGAGGAAAUGAUGGUCAUACCUUUGCUAAAUUUGUUGGCACUAACUAUGAUGAUUAUGCUUGGAGUAUUUGGGUUCCUAAGACCCUUAUUGCUAACUCUCUAGGACCCAUUGCAAAAUGGGGACCUAAAAUCAAAGCUUGA
rnacentral:rRNA from 1 species